rnacentral:rRNA from 1 species
CCUACGGGGGGCAGCAGUAGGGAAUAUUGCUCAAUGGGGGAAACCCUGACGCAGCAAAGCGGCGUGGCGGAUGAAGGUUUUCGGAUUGUAACCUCCUUUUGUUAGAGAAGAUCAUGACGGUAUCUAACGAAUAAGCUCCGGCUAACUCCGUGUCAGCAGUCGCGGUAAUACGGAGGUUGAAAGCGUUACUCGGAAUCACUGGGCGUAAAGAGAGCGGAGGCGGGAUAGGAAGUCAUAUGUGAAAUCCUAUGGCGUAACCAUAAAACUGCAUUUGAAAUUGUGAUUUUAGAGUAUGGUAGAGGUAAGUGGAAUUGUUGGUGGAGGGGUAUAAUCCGUAGAGAGUAAGAGGAAUACUCAGGGCGAAGGCGACCUACUAGAACAUAACUGACGCUGAUGCGCGAAAGCGUGGGGAGCAAACAGGAUUAGAUACCCUGGUAGUC